UUCGGAAUAACCCAGGGAAACCUGGGCUAACACCGGAUGCGCCCGCCCCUUCGGGGUCGGGGAAAGAUUCAUCGCCGAGGGAUCGGCCCGCGUCGGAUUAGCUAGACGGUGGGGUAACGGCCUACCGUGGCGACGAUCCGUAGCUGGUCUGAGAGGAUGAUCAGCCACACUGGGACUGAGACACGGCCCAGACUCCUACGGGAGGCAGCAGUGGGGAAUAUUGGUCAAUGGGCGCAAGCCUGAUGCAGCGACGCCGCGUGAGGGAUGACGGCCUUCGGGUUGUAAACCUCUUUCAGCUACGACGAAGCGCAAGUGACGGUAGUAGCAGAAGAAGCACCGGCCAACUACGUGCCAGCAGCCGCGGUAAUACGAAGGGGGCUAGCGUUGUUCGGAUUUACUGGGCGUAAAGCGCACGUAGGCGGAUCGAUCAGUCAGGGGUGAAAUCCCAGGGCUCAACCCUGGAACUGCCUUUGAUACUGUCGAUCUGGAGUAUGGAAGAGGUGAGUGGAAUUCCGAGUGUAGAGGUGAAAUUCGUAGAUAUUCGGAGGAACACCAGUGGCGAAGGCGGCUCACUGGUCCAUUACUGACGCUGAGGUGCG
rnacentral:rRNA from 1 species